GCAUCAGGAGAGCAGAUUCACCAGUCCCCAGAGGCUGCCUGCGCACAGCUGGCAGGGUACAACAGUGUCCAGUGGCAGUUCUUGGUGCCAGGCUAUGAAACACAGUAUGUCAUGGAGUACAGAACCGCUGACAGCAAACAAGCCCUGACCCAACACCACUGGAAUAAGGCCAGUGCUUUCCGAGUUGCAGGCCCCUGAAAUUACCACCAUCAAUCACCCAUGCACCAUCAUCAUGGGCCUCAGAACCAAGCAGCAGCCCACCAAAUCACACCAACAACAUAUCAAGCUACAGUCUCAGGAGCAGAGGAAAACCAGGACUGACACGAACUCACCUGGUCUGGAGGAAGCGUCCGGGAGGCGCCUGCAGCACCGGCUGCGGCCUCUGGACCUGCUGCCACUAAGCAGGCCCUGGAGACGAAUGUUG